ACUGGAUCUGGUGGGACUGACUGUUCUGACUGACUGGAUCUGGUGGGACUGACUGUUCUGACUGACUGGAUCUGGUGGGACUGACUGUUCUGACUGACUGGAUCUGGUGGGACUGACUGUUCUGACUGACUGGAUCUGGUGGGACUGACUGUUCUGACUGACUGGAUCUGGUGGGACUGACUGUUCUGACUGGAUCUGGUGGGACUGACUGGAUCUGGUGGGACUGACUGGUCUGACUGGAUCUGGUGGGACUGACUGGUCUGACUGGAUCUGAUGGGACUGACUGUUCUGACUGGAUCUGGUGGGACUGACUGGUCUGACUGGAUCUGGUGGGACUGACUGGUCUGACUGGAUCUGGUGGGACUGACUGGUCUGACUGGAUCUGGUGGGACUGACUGUUCUGACUGGAUCUGGUGGGACUGACUGUUCUGACUGGAUCUGGUGGGACUCUAGUCUACUGUCUCAGACAGAGGUGUCUAGUCUGCCGUCUCGGACAGAGGUGUCUAGUCUGCCGUCUCGGACAGAGGUGUCUAGUCUGCCGUCUCGGACAGAGGUGUCUAGUCUGCCGUCUCGGACAGAGGUGUCUAGUCUGCCGUCUCGGACAGAGGUGUCUAGUCUGCCGUCUCGGACAGAGGUGUCUAGUCUGCCGUCUCGGACAGAGGUGUCUAGUCUGCCGUCUCGGACAGAGGUGUCUAGUCUGCCGUCUCGGACAGAGGUGUCUAGUCUGCCGUCUCGGACAGAGGUGUCUAGUCUGCCGUCUCGGACAGAGGUGUCUAGUCUGCCGUCUCGGACAGAGGUGUCUAGUCUGCCGUCUCGGACAGAGGUGUCUAGUCUGCCGUCUCGGACAGAGGUGUCUAGUCUGCCGUCUCGGACAGAGGUGUCUAGUCUGCCGUCUCGGACAGAGGUGUCUAGUCUGCCGUCUCGGACAGAGGUGUCUAGUCUGCCGUCUCGGACAGAGGUGUCUAGUCUGCCGUCUCGGACAGAGGUGUCUAGUCUGCCGUCUCGGACAGAGGUGUCUAGUCUGCCGUCUCGGACAGAGGUGUCUAGUCUGCCGUCUCGGACAGAGGUGUCUAGUCUGCCGUCUCGGACAGAGGUGUCUAGUCUGCCGUCUCGGACAGAGGUGUCUAGUCUGCCGUCUCGGACAGAGGUGUCUAGUCUGCCGUCUCGGACAGAGGUGUCUAGUCUGCCGUCUCGGACAGAGGUGUCUAGUCUGCCGUCUCGGACAGAGGUGUCUAGUCUGCCGUCUCGGACAGAGGUGUCUAGUCUGCCGUCUCGGACAGAGGUGCGUCGUCUGCCGUCUCGGACAGAGGUGCGUCGUCUGCCGUCUCGGACAGAGGUGCGUCGUCUGCCGUCUCGGACAGAGGUGCGUCGUCUGCCGUCUCGGACAGAGGUGCGUCGUCUGCCGUCUCGGACAGAGGUGCGUCGUCUGCCGUCUCGGACAGAGGUGCGUCGUCUGCCGUCUCGGACAGAGGUGCGUCGUCUGCCGUCUCGGACAGAGGUGCGUCGUCUGCCGUCUCGGACAGAGGUGCGUCGUCUGCCGUCUCGGACAGAGGUGCGUCGUCUGCCGUCUCGGACAGAGGUGCGUCGUCUGCCGUCUCGGACAGAG